CCUGGAGACAAAGGCGGAACUGUCCGGUCCAAACCAACCAUAGCCACUGGGGAAUGAGAACAACGUGCUUAUGUGGUAAGCCCUGCAGAGAGAUACUUUUCUAAUAUUUUCCAAGACCUCAGCUUUCUUUUCUUUUUUUCUAAUAAAAUCCUACGCAAGACAAUGUUACACGGCAGUUGCUUCACCAACGCUGCAUCACAUUCUCACUGGCAGUAUUAGUGUUUAACCAUCCUAGAAAACCAGGAUAUUUGUAUCCUGAAAACGCAAGUCGUUAAUUUCCUCUUUCAGUUCUAAGUGUUUCACUGGUACCUCCAGAAGCUUCUGUGAAAUCUGGUAAGAAGAAAGUUUGUAGGACACGGUCACACUUUGUUCCAGACUCCCUGGAAGGCACUGAGGAUCCGGCGGUGAUCAGCUCAGCCCUCGUGGACCCUAUGCUCUGCUGGAAUGAAGAGAUGAACCCCAAGAAACUGAGCUGCCAUAUCGACUCGGACUCGGCAGACCACCCUUGCUGCCUAAGGUACAACAUUUCAGCUGCAUACCCACGUGCCCCGGAAACACAGUGGGAAACCUGAGCCGGCCUUCCUCGUGCCUUCAGGCCUUGCCCCGACUCCAGUGGAGACAAGCCAAAACGUUUCAGCUCCCAACCCAGGGCAGAUCUCAAAUAUGACACGUGACUCAAAAGCAGUCGGUGAGAUAUGGCCCCUUCGGCGAGGGUCUGAUUGGUUCCAGAGGAAAGAGUUUAGACAGCCCGGCUCAGAGCACACGUCUGGAGGGGAGUCCUCGGGGCCCAGGGACUAGCAGGGCUCGCUACGUGCUCACACGUGAAGUGCUGUGAGACACGCAGCCCGUGGAAGGCAGCGGCGCUGGUCCCACCUGCAAGCUGCUUACCUCGCUCCACCACCCCCUGAGCGGGGGAGGCUGGAACAUGUUUCCAGGGAGUGGCAGCCUCUUAAGGCUAUAAUAAUGUCGACCAACUCGAAUGGACUAACACCACAACACUGGGAUGGGGCCUUCAGAAAAGAUACUAAAAUGGUCGCGUUAUCGGAGAGCUGCGCACGCUUAGGCUGACCGUCUUACUCUGGGCCAAGCCAAGUGGUGAGUCAGUCAGGGACAAGGCUGACAUUUUCUUUUCAGCAAGUCAUAUUUCCUUCCGUUAAAAAAAGUAAUGGAGAAGCCAGACCCCAAACGACAAACGCUGUAAGAUUCCACUUCUACGAGCUCCUGAGAGGAGUCAAAUUCAUAGAGACAGAAAGGAGACUGGUGGCCGCCGGAGGCUGGUGGGUGAGGGGUGGAAAUGGGGAGUUAGCGUUUCAUGGGGACAGACUUUCAGUUGGGAAGAUAAGAAAGUUCUGGAGAUGGAUGGUAGCUGAUGGUUGCCCACGGUGGGAACGUCCUUAAUGCCACUUAAAAAAGGGUUAAAGUGGUAAAUUUGCGUUCUGUAUAUUUUAUCACAAUAAAAAAAGUUAUGGAAA